GGCUGGGAUUCAGUGCUGUUGACUUGAAGAAACUGAGGCUCAGCUAGAAAAGAGAGAUGAUGCCUCUGCCCGUCAUGGUCUUAAAAGAUAGACAUUGGUAAAGUUCUUAAAAGGGCCCUCAGCAAGUAGUAUAGUCCCUGAAGGGUACUUAUUGUCAUUAGCUAGUUUCUGGUGUCCUUGGAUGUGCUCUGUUGUCCCCGCUUGUUCCAAAUAAGCUCUCGAGUCGGAGGCAGUCGGGCUAACCCCAACUGUUGAGACUAACCCCGACUGGGCAGUGCCAGGCAGUCUCAUCUGUCUGCCUGAAGCUCACACGUGCUU
rnacentral:lncRNA from 1 species